rnacentral:tRNA from 1 species
GCCGGUGUGGUGGAAUGGCAGACACAAGGGACUUAAAAUCCCUCGGUGGCAACAUCGUGCCGGUUCAAGUCCGGCCACCGGCACCA